rnacentral:rRNA from 1 species
ACACGACUACAUUAGAUACCCGCGUAGUCCUAGCCGUAAACGAUACUCGCUAGGUGUCGGCCACGGUGCGACCGUUGUCGGUGCCGUAGGGAAGCCGUGAAGCGAGCCACCUGGGAAGUACGGCCGCAAGGCUGAAACUUAAAGGAAUUGGCGGGGGAGCACCACAACGGGUGGAGCUUGCGGUUUAAUUGGAUUCGACGCCGGAAAUCUUACCGGGACCGACAGCAACAUGAAGGCCAGGCUGAAGACUUUGCCGGAUUAGCUG